UCUUCCGUAGUAUAGUGGUCAGUAUGUGAGCUUGUCAUCCAAUGUCAUCGCUCGAGACCCGGGUUCAAUUCCCGGCGGGAGAG
rnacentral:tRNA from 1 species